GAAACAAGAUCUGCAAGAUUGCUAAAAGGGAUUUUCAGCUGAAGUUUCAAAAGUUCAAGGCUGCGAUUCUCCAUCUGGGUUCUUUCACUUUAUUUCCUUCUCAUGUCUUUUCUUUAUUUUUUUACAAACUUGAUUGUAAAACUCACCAUAUGGAAAUAGUUUCUUUAUUUUAGGGUUAGAGUGUAGCACUCUCAAUUUAAUUAU
rnacentral:misc_RNA from 1 species